UGGGGAAUUUUGGACAAUGGGCGAAAGCCUGAUCCAGCAAUGCCGCGUGUGUGAAGAAGGCCUUCGGGUUGUAAAGCACUUUUGUCCGGAAAGAAAUCCUUGGCUCUAAUACAGUCGGGGGAUGACGGUACCGGAAGAAUAAGCACCGGCUAACUACGUGCCAGCAGCCGCGGUAAUACGUAGGGUGCAAGCGUUAAUCGGAAUUACUGGGCGUAAAGCGUGCGCAGGCGGUUUGCUAAGACCGAUGUGAAAUCCCGGGCUCAACCUGGGAACUGCAUUGGUGACUGGCAGGCUAGAGUAUGGCAGAGGGGGGUAGAAUUCCACGUGUAGCAGUGAAAUGCGUAGAGAUGUGGAGGAAUACCGAUGGCGAAGGCAGCCCCCUGGGCCAAUACUGACGCUCAUGCACGAAAGCGUGGGGAGCAAACAGGAUUAGAUACCCUGGUAGUCCACGCCCUAAACGAUGUCAACUAGUUGUUGGGGAUUCAUUUCCUUAGUAACGUAGCUAACGCGUGAAGUUGACCGCCUGGGGAGUACGGUCGCAAGAUUAAACUC
rnacentral:rRNA from 1 species